rnacentral:rRNA from 1 species
UACGUAGGGUGCGAGCGUUGUCCGGAAUUAUUGGGCGUAAAGGGCUCGUAGGCGGUUUGUCGCGUCGGGAGUGAAAUCCACUGGCUUAACUGGUGGCUUGCUUUCGAUACGGGCAGACUGGAGGUAUGCAGGGGAGAACGGAAUUCCUGGUGUAGCGGUGAAAAUGCGCAGAUAUCAGGAGGAACACCGGUGGCGAAGGCGGUUCUCUGGGCAUGUCCUGACGCUGAGGAGCGAAAGCGUGGGGAGCGAACAGG